CGGGCGGCGGGGUUAUUCCAUUUAGGGGGUGACAGGGACCGCCCGGGAGGGGCCCCGGCUGUGAGGGGCGCAGGGCAGUGAGGGUGCGGCAAGGCGGGGCAGGGGAAGAAGUGGAGAAGGAAGAAAAAUAAUCAGUGAAUAUUUAAUAUCUGCUUAAAAUAACGAGGUUUCUCAUUCUGUUGUUCUGUGGUCAGGUGCAGCGUCCUUAGUAGUCUAAUUUCUGAUGGAGAUCCUCAGUGGCACCUGAAAAGUGCAGUAUUCAUCUUUCCUUCAAAACCACUGGCUGGAGAAACUGCAGAAUUCAACACUGCUGCUAAAUGGACUUAUGUGGGAAUUAGGAAUGGUUGUUUCCUGAGAAAAUCAAGCUCAAAAUACUUUGGGACACUCUUGUGGUUUUUGUGCAUAUGGAAUUGGCAGACCAGCACAUGGAACCAUAUUUUACCUAACUGAUGGGCUCACCUUUACAAAAACAAGAGACAAGGAUGGCUGAUCACAGACCUGCAAACCAGGCUGGUGCAAUGAUUUCCUCUGAGAACUUGGCAAAUGCUUUCCAUGUGAAUGCAAUCAAAAGGGAUACAUAAUUUAACAACUUUGCUACCCCUCCAAGAGGAAAAAAAAAAAUAAAUAAAAUAUCUGCUUGCUUUCUUUUUAGAUGAGUAAUUUUUCCUGCCAGGAUGUCUGGCAGCUAAUGUCACCACUAAUACAGUUAUGAAGAGUAAACUUCCUGACCAUCACUUCAUUAGCAGAAUUAUUAAUUGUACUUCCUGAAUUUUUAUUAAUUUUCAUAUUGAAGUCAGAAAUAGUAACUUUUAAUAUUAAAUGGAGCAGGCUGACAACUAGUAAAUAGAUCUUUACUGAAAUUGUAAACAGAAUGUAAUAUAAAAAUCAGAGGAGGCACCAUUGCUGUUCAGAGUAAUAAUCCAAUUUCAGCUUCUUUGCUUGUAAACAGAAAAAAACUCUGAACUGUGAGAGACUGGGUGAAGUUUAUAUGUAAUGUCAGAAGGAAUUUACCUGUCACUAUUGAUUACACAAGAAAGGCAGAAAAACCUUUCUGCAUACAGUUGGCUUCACAGAAUAUACAAAAAGAAUAUGUGUGUUCAGAUCUGCUUGU